CCUACGGGAGGCUGCAGUGGGGAAUAUUGGGCAAUGGCCGCAAGCCUGACCCAGCAACGCCGCGUGAAGGUAGCUGGCUUUCGGGUUGUAAACUUCUUUUAAGCGGGAAGAGCAGAAGACGGUACCUCUUGAAUAAGCCACGGCUAACUACGUGCCAGCACCAGCGGUAAUACGUCGGUGGCAAGCGUUGUCCGGAUUUACUGGGUGUAAGGGGCGUGCAGCCGGGAAGACAAGUCAGAUGUGAAAUCCCGCGGCUAAACCGCGGAACUGCAUUUGAAACUGUUUUUCUUGAGUACCGUAGAGGUCAUCGGAAUGCCUGGUGUAGCGGUGAAAUGCGUAGAUAUAAGGAAGAACACCAGUGGCGAAGGCGGAUGACGGGACGGCAACUGACGGUGAGGCGCGAAAGCGUGGGGAGCAAACAGGAUUAGAUACCCCUGUAGUC
rnacentral:rRNA from 1 species